rnacentral:rRNA from 1 species
GAUGAACGCUGGCGGCGUGCCUAAUACAUGCAAGUCGAGCGAACGGACGAGAAGCUUGCUUCUCUGAUGUUAGCGGCGGACGGGUGAGUAACACGUGGAUAACCUACCUAUAAGACUGGGAUAACUUCGGGAAACCGGAGCUAAUACCGGAUGAUAUUUUGAACCGCAUGGUUCAAAAGUGAAAGACGGUGUUGCUGUCACUUAUAGAUGGAUCCGCGCUGCAUUAGCUAGUUGGUAAGGUAACGGCUUACCAAGGCAACGAUGCAUAGCCGACCUGAGAGGGUGAUCGGCCACACUGGAACUGAGACACGGUCCAGACUCCUACGGGAGGCAGCAGUAGGGAAUCUUCCGCAAUGGGCGAAAGCCUGACGGAGCAACGCCGCGUGAGUGAUGAAGGUCUUCGGAUCGUAAAACUCUGUUAUUAGGGAAGAACAUAUGUGUAAGUAACUGUGCACAUCUUGACGGUACCUAAUCAGAAAGCCACGGCUAACUACGUG